rnacentral:rRNA from 1 species
AUUGAACGCUGGCGGCAGGCCUAACACAUGCAAGUCGAACGGUAACAGGGAUCAGCUUGCUGAUUCGCUGACGAGUGGCGGACGGGUGAGUAAUGUCUGGGAAACUGCCUGAUGGAGGGGGAUAACUACUGGAAACGGUAGCUAAUACCGCAUAACGUCGCAAGACCAAAGAGGGGGACCUUCGUGCCUCUUGCCAUCGGAUGUGCCCAGAUGGGAUUAGCUAGUAGGUGGGGUAACGGCUCACCUAGGCGACGAUCCCUAGCUGGUCUGAGAGGAUGACCAGCCACACUGGAACUGAGACACGGUCCAGACUCCUACGGGAGGCAGCAGUGGGGAAUAUUGCACAAUGGGCGCAAGCCUGAUGCAGCCAUGCCGCGUGUAUGAAGAAGGCCUUCGGGUUGUAAAGUACUUUCAGCGGGGAGGAAGGGAGUAAAGUUAAUACCUUGGCUCAUUGACGUUACCCGCAGAAGAAGCACCGGCUAACUCCGUG